rnacentral:rRNA from 1 species
GGAGUUUGGGCCGUGUCUCAGUCCCAAUGUGGCCGUCCGACCUCUCAGUCCGGCUACAGAUCGUCGCCUUGGUAAGCCGUUACCUUACCAACUAGCUAAUCUGACGCGGGCCCAUCUCAUACCACCGGAGUUUUUCACACUGCAUCAUGCGAUGCUGUGCGCUUAUGCGGUAUUAUCAGUCGUUUCCAACUGCUAUCCCCCAGUAUGAGGCAGGUUGCCCACGCGUUACUCACCCGUCCGCCACUAAGAUUAAACAAGAUUUGACCGAAGUCUCGUCAGCGUCUAAUCUCCGUUCGACUUGCAUGUGUUAGGCACGCCGCCAGCGUUCAUC